GUAAGGAAUAUUGGUCAAUGGGCGCAAGCCUGAACCAGCCAUGCCGCGUGCAGGAAGACGGCCCUAUGGGUUGUAAACUGCUUUUGUCAGGGAAUAAACCCCCGCUCGUGAGCGGGGCUGAAGGUACCUGAAGAAUAAGCAUCGGCUAACUCCGUGCCAGCAGCCGCGGUAAUACGGAGGAUGCAAGCGUUAUCCGGAUUCAUUGGGUUUAAAGGGUGCGCAGGCGGAUUGGUAAGUCAGGGGUGAAAUCCAACAGCUCAACUGUGGAACUGCCUUUGAUACUGUCAGUCUAGAGUAUAGUUGAAGUUGGCGGAAUGUGUCAUGUAGCGGUGAAAUGCUUAGAUAUGACACAGAACACCGAUCGCGAAGGCAGCUAGCUAAGCUAUAACUGACGCUCAUGCACGAAAGCGUGGGGAUCAAACAGGAUUAGAAACCCCAGUAGUCC
rnacentral:rRNA from 1 species